rnacentral:rRNA from 1 species
CAGGCCUAACACAUGCAAGUCGAGCGGACCAUUCCUUCGGGGAUGGUUAGCGGCGGACGGGUGAGUAACACGUAGGCAACCUGCCUGUAAGAUCGGGAUAACUACCGGAAACGGUAGCUAAGACCGGAUAGCUGGUUUCCCCGCAUGGGGGAAUCAUGAAACACGGGGCAACCUGUGGCUUACGGAUGGGCCUGCGGCGCAUUAGCUAGUUGGUGGGGUAACGGCCCACCAAGGCGACGAUGCGUAGCCGACCUGAGAGGGUGAUCGGCCACACUGGGACUGAGACACGGCCCAGACUCCUACGGGAGGCAGCAGUAGGGAAUCUUCCGCAAUGGGCGCAAGCCUGACGGAGCAACGCCGCGUGAGUGAUGAAGGUUUUCGGAUCGUAAAGCUCUGUUGCCAAGGAAGAACGCCUCGGAGAGUAACUGCUCUGAGGGUGACGGUACUUGAGAAGAAAGCCCCGGCUAACUACGUGCCAGCAGCCGCGGUAAUACGUAGGGGGCAAGCGUUGUCCGGAAUUAUUGGGCGUAAAGCGCGCGCAGGCGGUCUUUUAAGUUUGGUGUUUAAGCCCGGGGCUCAACCCCGGUUCGCACUGAAAACUGGGAGACUUGAGUGCAGGAGAGGAAAGCGGAAUUCCACGUGUAGCGGUGAAAUGCGUAGAGAUGUGGAGGAACACCAGUGGCGAAGGCGGCUUUCUGGACUGUAACUGACGCUGAGGCGCGAAAGCGUGGGGAGCAAACAGGAUUAAAU